rnacentral:rRNA from 1 species
CCCUUAGAUGUUCUGGGCUGCACACGUGCUACACUGGCAGGUUCAGCGAGCUUCAUGCCCUGAUCUGAAAGGAAUGGGAAAUCUUUUCAAAACCUGCCGUGCUUGGGAUAGAUGUUUGCAAUUAUUCAUCUUCAACGAGGAUUGCCUUGUAAGCGCACGUCAUCAGCGUGCAUUGAAUACGACCCUGUAUUCUGUACACACCGCCCGUCGCUCCUACCGAUUGAAGUUUUCGGUGAGUUGACAGGAGGAUUUUUUUGAAACUGGUGCGCCAGUGGAUUUUAGAUCCAAAUGCCAACGAAUCGAUGGCUUUAGAGGAAGGAGAAGUCGUAACA